rnacentral:tRNA from 1 species
CGGGAUGUGGCUCAGUUUGGUAGAGCGCUGCGUUCGGGACGCAGAGAUCGGAGGUUCAAAUCCUCUCAUCCCGACCA